GGGUGUAGCUCAGUGAUAGAACACGUGCCUGGGAUGCAGAAGGUCCUGGGUUGGAUCCCCAGCACAAAACCA
rnacentral:tRNA from 1 species